rnacentral:rRNA from 1 species
CUGUCACUGACGCUGAGGCUCGAAAGCGUGGGUAGCGAACAGGAUUAGAUACCCUGGUAGUNCACGCCGUAAACGAUGAGUGCUAGGUGUUAGGCCCUUUCCGGGGCUUAGUGCCGGAGCUAACGCAAUAAGCACUCCGCCUGGGGAGUACGACCGCAAGGUUGAAACUCAAAGGAAUUGACGGGGGCCCGCACAAGCGGUGGAGCAUGUGGUUUAAUUCGAAGCAACGCGAAGAACCUUACCAGGUCUUGACAUCCCGAUGCUAUUCUUAGAGAUAGGAAGUUACUUCGGUACAUCGGAGACAGGUGGUGCAUGGUUGUCGUCGGCUCGUGUCGUGAGAUGUUGGGUUAAGUCCCGCAACGAGCGCAACCCUUAUUGUUAGUUGCCAUCAUUAAGUUGGGCACUCUAGCGAGACUGCCGGUAAUAAACCGGAGGAAGGUGGGGAUGACGUCAAAUCAUCAUGCCCCUUAUGACCUGGGCUACACACGUGCUACAAUGGUCGGUACAACGAGUUGCGAGCCGGUGACGGCAAGCUAAUCUCUGAAAGCCGAUCUCAGUUCGGAUUGGAGGCUGCAACUCGCCUCCAUGAAGUCGGAAUCGCUAGUAAUCGCGGAUCAGCACGCCGCGGUGAAUACGUUCCCGGGCCUUGUACACACCGCCCGUCACACCACGAGAGUUUGUAACACCCGAAGUCGGUGAGGUANCCUUUUAGGGGCC